CCUACGGGUGGCAGCAGUAGGGAAUAUUGCUCAAUGGGGGAAACCCUGAAGCAGCAACGCCGCGUGGAGGAUGAAGGUUUUCGGAUUGUAAACUCCUUUUGUUAGAGAAGAUAAUGACGGUAUCUAACGAAUAAGCACCGGCUAACUCCGUGCCAGCAGCCGUGGUAAUACGGAGGGUGCAAGCGUUACUCGGAAUCACUGGGCGUAAAGAGCGCGUAGGCGGGAUAGCAAGUCAGAUGUGAAAUCCUAUGGCUUAACCAUAGAACUGCAAUUGAAACUGUUAUUCUAGAGUAUGGGAGAGGUAGGUGGAAUUCUUGGUGUAGGGGUAAAAUGCGUAGAGAUCAAGAAGAAUACUGAUUGCGAAGGCGACCUGCUAGAACAUAACUGACGCUGACGCGCGAAAGCGUGGGGAGCAAACAGGAUUAGAUACCCCAGUAGUC
rnacentral:rRNA from 1 species